CUAUACCCCGCGCUGCAAGAGACGGGAGGCUGUUAUAUAAGGCUCGGCUCCGGUCAGCGAUUGAAGCACUUAUAAAGCCGAGCGAGCCAACCGCGGCGGGGGCGAGUCCUGCUCGGGAGUCCGGUGCCUGCAGAGUGCAGCCUUUCCCACGAGCCGUGCGCGGGUGCGAGGCUUACCUGAAGGGAGAAGAAAAUCACAGCGUUCACUGAGCUGGAAAUGGAUUACGAUUUCCUCCACACUGCACAAAUCAGACAGGAAAAAACAUCAUAUCUCAAGAUUUUCGGAAAGAAGACAGGAAUGACUUAGACUGCAAUAAGGAAAAUUUUUGAGAGACAGCUAGUUCUGAGGAAUUAUAUUUAAUGAUAGUCUUCCACAGAUAAGAUAACAUCUUAUCUAAAAUCAAUGAGCAGUGUUCCAAUAUUUGAGUGGCUGCCACAAAGAAGAAGGGGUCGACCUAUUUUCCAAAGCACCAGAAGGCAAGACAAGACACAAUGGAUGGAAACAAAUCAAGGAGAGAAGCAACCUAGAAUUAAGGAGAAAUGUCCUGACUUAGAACACUCAAUCAAUGGAAUGAUUUGCUUUCAGAAGUUGUGGGUGCUCCAUCAUUGGAGGUUUUUAAGAAGAGUCUGGACAGCCGUAACAGUAUAGGGUUUCCUGCUCAAGCAGGGGGUUGGACAAGAAGACCUCCAAGGUGCCUUCCAACUCAGUUAUUCCUUUCUGUUCUGAAGAAGAUUGUAAGUCCAAUGUAAUCUGAACUGAAGUCCCAUUUGUCAAGUUUCACAUUCUUAGAUUUGAUUCUACUGUCCCUCCCCUUUUUCCAGCCAGAAAUGAAUUGGCUAUAGAACAUGUUGCACUCUAGUAACGAAUAAACGAUAUAACUUCAUGGUAACUUUGGCUUAAGUCUAAUCUAAAUGGGGGGGGGGGAAUGGACAGGGAGCUGUAUUGUUACAGCAGGGUAGAGAAUA